rnacentral:rRNA from 1 species
AGAGUUUGAUCCUGGCUCAGGACGAACGCUGGCGGCGUGCUUAACACAUGCAAGUCGAGCGAGGCCCUCUUUCGGGGGGUGCCCUAGCGGCGAACGGGUGAGUAACACGUGGGCAACCUGCCCUCAGCUUCGGGAUAACUCCAAGAAAUUGGUGCUAAUACCGGAUGUGACCGCUGACCGCAUGGUCUGGUGGUGGAAAGAUUCAUCGGCUGGGGAUGGGCCCGCGGCCUAUCAGCUUGUUGGUGGGGUAAUGGCCUACCAAGGCGACGACGGGUAGCCGGCCUGAGAGGGUGACCGGCCACACUGGGACUGAGACACGGCCCAGACUCCUACGGGAGGCAGCAGUGGGGAAUAUUGCGCAAUGGGCGGAAGCCUGACGCAGCGACGCCGCGUGAGGGAUGACGGCCUUCGGGUUGUAAACCUCUUUCAGUAGGGACGAAGCGGAAGUGACGGUACCUACAGAAGAAGCACCGGCCAACUACGUGCCAGCAGCCGCGGUAAUACGUAGGGUGCAAGCGUUGUCCGGAAUUAUUGGGCGUAAAGAGCUCGUAGGCGGUCUGUCACGUCGGCUGUGAAAACCCGAGGCUCAACCUCGGGCCUGCAGUCGAUACGGGCAAACUGGAGUACUGCAGGGGAGACUGGAAUUCCUGGUGUAGCGGUGAAAUGCGCAGAUAUCAGGAGGAACACCGGUGGCGAAGGCGGGUCUCUGGGCAGUAACUGACGCUGAGGAGCGAAAGCGUGGGGAGCGAACAGGAUUAGAUACCCUAGUAGUCC